UGACGGUACCUGACUAAGAAGCACCGGCUAAAUACGUGCCAGCAGCCGCGGUAAUACGUAUGGUGCAAGCGUUAUCCGGAUUUACUGGGUGUAAAGGGAGCGCAGGCGGCUCUGCAAGCCAGAGGUGAAAACCCGGGGCUCAACCCCGUGAUUGCCUUUGGAACUGUAGAGCUUGAGUACUGGAGGGGCAGGCGGAAUUCCUGGUGUAGCGGUGAAAUGCGUAGAUAUCAGGAGGAACACCGGUGGCGAAGGCGGCCUGCUGGACAGAAACUGACGCUGAGGCUCGAAAGCGUGGGGAGCAAACAGGAUUAGAUACCCUG
rnacentral:rRNA from 1 species